UGAGCUGUGAUGGGGAGAAGACAUUGUGUCUUCGAGUCGUUGAUUUCACACUGCCGAGAAAAGCCUCUAGAUAGAAAAUAGGUGCCCGUACCGCAAACCGACACAGGUAGUCAAGAUGAGAAUUCUAAGGUGAGCGAGCGAACUCUCGUUAAGGAACUCGGCAAAAUGACCCCGUAACUUCGGGAGAAGGGGUGCUCUUUAGGGUUAACGCCCAGAAGAGCCGCAGUGAAUAGGCCCAAGCGACUGUUUAUCAAAAACACAGGUCUCUGCUAAACCGUAAGGUGAUGUAUAGGGGCUGACGCCUGCCCGGUGCUGGAAGGUUAAGAGGAGUGGUUAGCUUCUGCGAAGCUACGAAUCGAAGCCCCAGUAAACGGCGGCCGUAACUAUAACGGUCCUAAGGUAGCGAAAUUCCUUGUCGGGUAAGUUCCGACCCGCACGAAAGGCGUAACGAUUUGGGCACUGUCUCAACGAGAGACUCGGUGAAAUCAUAGUACCUGUGAAGAUGCAGGUUACCCGCGACAGGACGGAAAGACCCCGUGGAGCUUUACUGUAGCCUGAUAUUGAAAUUCGGCACAGCUUGUACAGGAUAGGUAGGAGCCUUUGAAACGUGAGCGCUAGCUUACGUGGAGGCGCUGGUGGG
rnacentral:rRNA from 1 species